CACUGUCAUCCCAUGGUACAGAGGAGUCUCUCCACCCAGGAGAACAUCGGGAGAAAUGAAAGGCCCCUAUAAUGCCUCCCCAGCUGGUUCCCUUCAAGUACAUUUGUGAAGGCUGGAUUCAACAGCAGGAAACCAUCUUAAACCCAGAGCAAGAAACGUAAAGUCACUUGGCUGUCCCUUAUCUCUAAGGGCACCUGAUGCAUAAGUGGACUAGAGAAAGGAAAGAAAGAAAACAUCCAAAGAUCUACAGAUCAUCUUGCUGGCAGGCAAAAUUCUGCUGCUGCCUGCCUGCAUCUUCAGCACUGGCUCCUUUCCCAAGGGCUCUGCACUGCUGCUGACCCUGUUCUCCUGAGCAUCGCUGCCCACAUCGGAGCGCAGUGGUCUGUGUCCCCACAACAUUGGCUAAUGCAGUCUCCUUCCCCUGCUGGAAGAUGCUGGUAGUGCCCAAGACCGUUUUAAUAAAAGGUAUUAAUGGUUAAAAUGUGUUUUCUUCAAAUAUAUAAAACAGUAAAAUCAAGCAUUUUUGAAGGUUCUAAUAACCAUGCUUGUCUCAAAUCCAAUGGCUCUAUAAAUCCAAAGGCUGAGGCUGUUUUGAACAUCUGGCAAGCCUGCACCUACUAGGACAUACUGGAAGAGUGCAGCAGGAUUCUCCCCAGCCAAGAUCUGCUGCCCUGUUGGCAGUGAGGAGCACAUGCAGUGUGGAACCCCAUCUCUCCCAGGACCAUGGGCCUGGACCAGGGGUUGGAGAGGUCUGGCCUCCUGUUAUCAUAGAAUCACUAAGGAUGGAAAGACCACUAUGAUCAUUUAGUCCAACAAUCAGUCCAUCACCACCAUACCACUAAACGACCUAGUAGCAAGAGCUAUGCCGAAGGGGUGCAGAGGUGAGAGGCUCUGUGUCCCAUAGCCUGAAUAAAAAAAUUCCCCUUAUUGCACAUAAAUUUCUGCUUUCACUCUGCUAGGAAGAAUCCUUCAGGCACCAAGCACAGAGAAGGUGCUUAACAAGUAAUAAAGAGUAGCAGUAAUAACUGAUGAGGUCUGGGCAUGUAAGUAAAAGGGGAAUACUUUGUAAAUAUUUAAAAUCUUAAAUGUACUGCAAGUAAGUCCCUCUAUGCAAUAUUGUUAAUUACCUAGACAACGCAACCUGUGCAAUCAUCUUCAAUCACAGGCUUCUAUUUAAUAACCUUACUGUAAUUUAUUGCUAUUAAACAUUUUUCUAGCAGUUAGUGCAAACUUCCAGCUUUUUCUUCCAUGGGAAGCAUUGCAAAUCAGGCUAUAAAAUUCCUAGGUAAAGCUGCUUAGGUCUAUUAGAGUGAGAGGAUGGAAGUAACUAGUGGAAGUGCUGGGAAUGAAUCCUCCUGGCAGGGCACUGGGAUUGCUGGGCAGCACCGGGUAACUGCAGCCACACAGUACAGCUUGGUGAGCUAACUGCCAAAUCUCUUGGGGAGAUAUCUGAAAUCCAGCAGAAAUAUUUGCACAGUCACACCACUGAAAACAAUUUCAGUGGCAGGAAGUAAAUCUUAUUCAUUGCUCGUCCAUAGUAUAAGUCCACUCUGUUUCUGCUCUGCUGCGCCAACCAUGGGCAGAGAAACCUCCUUACAGGAAUAACGUUACUCCAGUGGGGAUCAAAAAGGAAAGAGUAAUAUUCAUCUUAAUUAAAUUACUUCUAAAAUUAAUUUUUUAUUACCUUCAAGUUUUUACUCAUUUGAUUAAACGUGUUUCUUAGAGGUAUCUGCAAUUCAGCAUCUACUCUCGAGAUUCUGAACUGACAGCUCUUGCAUGGGAGAUGUUAGUAGUCACAAAAAGUGAGGUAGGGAGAGGGAACAGGGAGGCUACAAAGAUGCUAUUGCCCAAGAAGUAAUUGGGGAUUCUUCAUUAUUUGAUUCUUUAUUAUUUCCUUCUGCACUUGUACAGUGGUGUGAAACAGGUAGAGAACAGCGUCUGUUCUCUAGGGAGGACUUGCACCUACAGCACAAAGGUGGACUACUCAGUGAGAGAUAUCUCUGAGCAGGUCCUGGUUUCUGAUUUUUAAAGACAGAAAAUGAGAAAACUGAGAUAAAUAGUAUGUGUCCAUUAAGUAUAGGCAUGAAUAAACCUUGUAUUAAACGUUCUUUGAGGUGAUGGAAAGUUUCUUGAAAGGGUUUCUUUGUUUCUAAUUAAACUUCUGGGAGAUAACAGAAAUAUAAAGAGGAAUUAGAUGCAAGAGGAGUAAAAAAGGAAAAGAUUGUUAGAAAUUGCAGCAAUUAAAUUAAAGAAUCUCCAGCCCGAGAAAUGUCUUCUGGAAGACCCAGUUGUAUGACUCAUUGGUUUUGGUUGCUUUUUUUGUGAUCACAUCUCAUGUUGUUUAAUGACUGAACUUUUUAACAAAUCCUUGAUCGUGCACAUAUUUUAAGGAUAGCUAGAUUCCUCUUCCUGUUUUGCUCCUUAAAUAAAUGCAUUAGUGCAAGCAGCAACUGACACGAAAGCUAAAAAAAAUCAUCAUCAAAAAGACAAAGAAUAGUACAUACAUAAAUUUGGAAGGUUGUAUCUGUUUUGUGCCAAGAUUUGUUUACUGUUUUGAUUGCAGUAUGUCUGUUCCCUAACACUAUCCUUGAGGGAACUUUAUACAACAUCAUUCAGUGAUAUUUGUUUAAAGACUUGAAAGGAAACUCUAAUUAAAGGAGAUCAUUGAUAAAGUAACACUUUAAAGACAUCAGAUUUUUUUAUUCCCUAAUACUUAUUGUUGACAACCUCUGCACUGAGUUUCAUCUGGAGAUGUCAGCACUUCUUAAUCAUAACCUUUUCUAAACUAUAAUCAUUCCAAUAUCUGUGCUUUCAGAUGAGCUUUUUUUUUUUUUUAUUCUGCUUGGAAGGUGCUUUCAGCUUCAUCCAAAAAGGAAGCUAAGAAGCAUUGGUACAGGGUGGCUAUGGGUCCCUGCCAGUCAUGAGAAACCCAACCCAUUGUCAGCCACCCAGUUUCGACCAAGCUGCAGAGUAGUGCUCUGACCGUGGAAGGGGCAAAGGUUCUCAGUACAGCAUGAAUACCCAUGCCCAACACCGUAUGUUCUGCCUAUAGGUAGAUACUCAUGCAAGGCUCUAGGCUGCAGUGUCUGUUCAAAGGGUGUAAACAUCUGUGCUGAUGUGAAGACCAUAGUCAGUCUGCACACCUGUGUGAUAAAAUUGCUUUUUUCCUCAACCCCUUGUACAGAGAAUGGCAAAUCUUUCAUUUUCCUUUUAUGAAACCAGAUGUGAUAGAUUUGGGAGGGGGAAGGAUGUCUAGGACCUGUUACAGCUUCAACCUUGGUCAUUGAUCAAAGUUUACACAGAUGAAAGCUUUUUUUUUUUCUUCAUUUUUUGAAGUAGAGUUAUGGUAAGUUUGCCUUUCCUCUUACGUAUUUUUCUCUAAAUACCUAUACUGAAGGGUCAUGCAUAACAUGGGAUGGCACAUAAGAGAUGAGCAGAUUUGAAAGAAAGAGAAUAUCUAUAGGGGAGUCAGAGAAUCUUGAGAUUUUAACAAUUUUUUAAUAAUCUUUCAUCUUUGAGCUUCUGCUUUUUGUGAGGAGCUGGUGGUCUUGAAGUACAGAUCAUCUGUAACCAAGAAUGGUGGCAACAGAAUUGUGCUAAAAUUAGUGCACUAAAAUGUAAUAAAAAUUCAUAAAUCUCUUAUGCUAGCAUUGGAAGUAUAGGAUUUGAUUACUGGCAGUGUUUAAUGGAUGAACAUGCAGCUUCUGUAUAUAUAAGUCCCUGGCAUGCUGAUGCACAUAAAUAUAGAAUGCUUUGCUGCUUAAUAUAAAAACAAAAUCUAGCAUUAUGUAGGUUUUUAGGACAUCUCUCUUGGUACAUAACAGAUGUUCUGAUUUCAGAGAAAUACUGAAGUAGGUUUGAUUGCGCAUUCUUGCUAAAACAUAAAUAAAUACACUAAGAUAUUCAGCAAGUUCCUGGCUGGGAAGCAUGAGGAAAUAUGCGUAGUAUUACUGUGUUUCUUUUUAAUAGUGCAGAGUUGUCCUUGAAGUUAAACCACGCAGUGAAGCUACCUUGACCACAGUGAUUUUGUGAAUUGCAUUCUUCUCAAGCCUAUAUGCAGCUAGAAAGAGAGUGAUGUUGAGAUAUGCAGGGAACAGCGAAGCCUGCAUAGUCUGUUGAAUGUUAUAGUUCUUUAUAAAUAAUUUAAUACUGAUUAAAGGAUCUUGGAUAAGGAACUGUAUACGAAAGCAAUCUGGUAUCAGAAUCGUUUUGCAGGGAGUCUUUUAUCUUAUGCCUCUGAAUAACUACACAGAGAGGUUAUGUUUGGGAGCAAGCUUGUAUAGCCAAGGAAAGAUCCAGUGUCUGGAAGCUGAAGAAAACUGAGACAGGAAAGGAGGCACAGUUAAACAACAGGAUUCUUACCACAACUAGAAUAGUGAAAUGUGAGGAUUUUAGCCAAUAUCUGAUGUUUGGGGGAAAUAUAAUUUUUGUUCAAGAAUGUAUUUUCCUGACAGUAAUAUUCUGGUGAGCAUAUUAAGAUCAAACAUAAAAUUUAGGAAGUGAAAACUGUAACCUGAUAGAAAGUCAGAGUAGGGAGGUAUUGGUCAGGUUUUUUCUUGUUUUACAGUUUUAUGGUAUUUUUUCAUAGUGUAUGAUUGUGCAUGCGUUAUAUUUCUUACUUGCAUGUACAGGUGAAUUGGGUGCAUUUCUUUUUCACAGAAUGUUCUGAUAAAAUCUUCCGCUUUUGGAGAUUGUCUGUUAUUUUGUGAAGGCUGUGGCAGAUUCUAGGCUUUCUUUCAGCCCUAAAGAUACUUGUUUCACAUAGAGAUUAACAUAGAAAAACCUAAAUCUUUGUGUUCUCAGCACAUAAGGUGAGUAUCAACAACUUCCUGCUAUUACUCUUCUUCUCACGUUAGAACACUGUUCAUGAUCAAAAAUUCUCUGUACCAUUCUUUCUGAGGAAAACACAUCCAUUCUAGAUUCUCAAACCUCCUUUACUUCCCAAUAAUUGGAGAUGGAUGUUUUUAACUUUAAAAAGUCUUUGCAAGGUCCAGAUGCUCAAACCAUAGGUGGUGUGGUACAGAGGCUAGAAGUCCUCACCCUCUCUUGGUUCUAAUAAAUGUCCUCUCUUCUUUGAGUUCUUGGGAAGAGUCAAAGCAAAAGAAAGGAGGUGGGCUAAAUCUGCUCUUCUGAGUAAGGACUGGGUCCUUUGAUUGUUGGUUUGCUUUUUUGUUGCUGGGUUUUUUUUUGUUGGUUUUUCUUUUCUUUUUUUUUUUUUUUUGUUUUGUUUUGUUUUUCUAUAUUCAGUUCUUCCUUUGGAUCUUGGGUGACAAGACCUAGAUCAGAAUGCUAUAAGUUGUUGUAUUUACAUAAAUUCUUCUAAAGCCUUAUAUGUGUUCUUCAUGCGUGUUUGUCAACAGAACUCUGAGAGGGGUGGAAAUAAUAGCAAUGCUGUGUGGACUCAUGCUGUUAUUUCAAUGUAUUUAUUGAAGUAUAUUUAAAACAGGAAAAAAUGCAAGCUUUUCUACACAUAAAACCAUGCAGUAAAUUGUCAACUUUUCUAGCGUAAUGGAUAGUUUUAGUAUAAACUCCAUUUCAGACUUACUAAUACUGAAAUUUGGUCUAGAAUCUGUUUUCAGCAAAAAUGACUAAGCAGAGUUAAAAAUAUUGAAGCAGAGUUUAAUUUAUAUUACCAGGAAGAAGCUAAAUAUGCUGAGGCACUUUGGAAAAAAUAAGUAGAAGAGAAAUAUAUAUAUAUUUAUGUGAACCAAGCAUUAAGUCCAUAUUUCCCUAGCGUAUAUAUCUUGAAUCCUAUUGAAAAUGUUUAUCAUCACGUAUGUAAUGAACUCUGAACAGAUUUGGAGGAUUUACUGAAUUUGAGAAAACAUGCUGCAUGGAAUUGUUUGUAACAUUAAGGCCUCCUGAGAAGACAGGCUCAUCUCUGGAUUUGCUAUAAUAUUUAAUUUCAGCUUAAAUUGUGUGGGAAGAGAAAAGUGGAGCUUGUAGGGAAGCUGGAAGAAGUAGUUACAGAUCUCAACAGAAAGCAAUUUUUCACAAUAUCACAGAGAAUCAUAGAAUCACUCAGGUUGGAAAAGACCUUAAAGAUCAUUGAGUCCAACCACAACCUAACCAUGCUACCCUAACUCUAACAGCCCUUUGCUAAAUCAUGUCCCUGAGUGCCACAUCCAAUCCGUUUCUAAACACAUCCAGGGAUGGUGACUCAACCUCCUCCCUGGAGAGCCUAUUCCAGUGCUUAACAACCCUUUCUGUAAAGAAGUGUUUCCUAAUAUCCAACCUAAACUUACGCGGGUGCAACUUGAGGCCAUUUUCCCUUGUCCUGUCACCUGUCAGCAGUGAGAACAGACCAGCCCCGCUCUCGCUGUAAGCACCUUUCAGAUAUUGAAAGAGAGCAAUAAGGUCUCCCCUCAGCCUCCUCUUCCCCAGACUAAACAGCCCCAGUUCCUUCAGUCUCUCCUUUUAGAGCAUAUUCUCCAAGCCUUCCGCAAGCCUUGUUGCCCUUAAAUGCAGUGGCUGAAGACUCGUCAAUGUGGGGACAAGGGUACAAACACUCAUUUGUAGUGUGUGCAUUUAACAUUCAUGCAGACUUGAUUACCUGCGUAUGUACCCAUUACCCAUGAGAUCCAUUACCUGAGAAGAUAUUUUUUUCCUGAUUAUAAACUGAGAGGAAGAGAAAGUUGAGAUGCUGAAGCAGAAAAGAGAGAAGAAACUGUGAAAUGGAUGGGUGUCUUGUUAUCAAUUUUCAAUAUUUCAAUUCACCCAAAAAUAACCUGUGCCUUUCUUUUAAUAUGUAUAUAUUAAAAUAUUUUUCUUGUUCACUAAGAAUUGAGUCACAUUUUACGAAAUGCUGAAAAACUGCUUAAAACUGCAUUUUCUUUUAAGCUAGUUUAAUUUGAGUAAGGAAAAACUAAGGUCAUUGGACUGGACAACUUAGAGGCCUAUCCAUCUUCAUGCUUUUUUGCUUUGGUUUUAGCAUUUCAAAAUAACCUGCAUCAGAUAUUGCCAAACAUUAUGCCUUAGGGCCAUUUUCAUAAUCUUGUUUAGAUUUGCACCUAGCAGACUGCAAAUAGACAUCAAGAAGGCAACAAAGUUCUAGUGAAAACUGACAAUGAAGAUAUUUAUUUUCAUCUGUCAAGUCUUUUUGUUGUUGUUGUUGUCUUAUUCCAAAGCGAAGCAGCCUGUAAAAACUGUGUGUGUGUCAAGAGAACACCCUCAAGCUCACUUAAUAGCGUAGAAUUAAUCUAGAUAGCUUUUUUUUUUCAUAAAGGUAUUUAUUGCCACAUGCUGAACACAGCUAUAAAUAUCAUACAACGUGAAUAAAAUAUGAUUGCACUGGAAAACACACUUACAUGUUUUUUAUAAUGAUUUAUUUCAGAUAUUAGCUAAUUCACUUUAAGUGCAAGGAAGCAUUUAUACUAUCCAUAUAGAAAUGAAUUAUUCAUUAAUCCCUUUGUUUUAAAGGUAUCAUUAAAAUUUUAUUUUUAAACAUACUACAUUUAAAAAAAAAGAUCUCUACUAAUUAAAAACAGGAGCAUUAUCUGGUAUCUCACAUCCCUCUUCCAGUUACAAAGCAGCCUUCACCUUGGACUACAAAAUGUCUUUCUGGAGGAUGGACUGGUGCAAACGAGGCAUGCUCAAUGGCUAUUCAAUUCUGGAAGGGUUUGCUGCCUCCUGAUGGUCAGGGUAUCCUCAGGUGGUAUCUCUUUGCAUGAGGCUGGAGCCAGAAGAAAUCUCAGAGUGCAACUGGAAUAGUUAAUACAAGGACUGUUCUGAAAGUCAUGCCUCCUGUUUUAUUAUGUUAGCCCCUGACAUCAUAGACCAGUGUUGAUGGUAUAGCAGUGAGGGUUGACCCUUCCUACCAAUAUUCCAUUACAUUUUGUUGCUGUGUGACAGAUGGCAGCAGAGGGGCAUUCUGACAAUAUGACAUGGAAGUGUGGAUGAAGCAAAGGUGUGUCACUGAAUUCCUACAUGUGGAAAAAAUGUCACCUGAUUACAUUUGACAUUUGCUGAACAUUGAUGGAGACCAAACAGUGGUUGUAAGCACUGUGAGGUGGUGGGUGGUGUGUUUCAGCAGUGGUGACACAGUGAUGUGGAAGAUAAGCUGUGUUCUGGACAGCCAUGCAUAAUUGUCACAUCACAAAAGAAUUUCUCAGUCAGCUCAUCUGUGUGAAUAUACCAAUGGGCAUGAUGGUGUUGAAAAAUAGUGUUUUGUAGAUGAGAAUUUACUCUAUCAAAAAGUGUUAUUGUGCUCUUUCUAGCAGUUGUUGUUUCCAUGGAAAUAAAUAGGUUGUUCUGAAAGUAAUGCCUUCCACGCAAUACUCACUCCUGUGGCACUCUGAAGUUUUUUGGAGUCCUGAGCUCCAAUGAAAUUUAGGUAAGCACUGGAUUACAGUAGUGAAAGGAACAGAACUAGCCCCUUCAGAGAGUAGUAUGAGAUAUUUACGUAAUGAAGUUCUGUCGAGCCAACAAGAUUUAAAGCUUGCCCUUCCCAGAGAAUGAGCACUGAACUUCUUCCUGGUUUUGGAUAUGACAGCGAAAAGACAGGGUUUUCUAGUGCUUGGGCUCUCAGUUUAAGAAUGGACAUGACUAAAAAACAGGACAACAGACUUCUUAAAAACACCAACAGACUGUGAUGGCCUCAUUUUUAGUGGGAAGCUUACAAAAGAAUCUUACCUCAGCUUGUUUAUUCAUCAAAUCUAUUCAAAUUUUAAUUGUUGGAUUUUGAGGGAUUUGUUUUGUCAUUUUUCUUCAUGCAACUGUCAUGGGAGCAUAACCGGGAAGGGAAGGAAAUACCACUGUUCUGACUUUAUUAUGAGUCGUUGUUUUGUUGCUUACUUUUUAUUUAAGGUCAAUCAGAAAACAGAAGGCUUGAGAUGCUUGUCUUCUAUAAGCAGCAGUUUCUGACAGGGUCAGUUGGAAAUAUGUAAAAAGGAUGAGGCAGCUCUUUUGAAAUUAAUGGACAACUUGUUCCAGCUGAGGAUUCGCCCUAGUGUUUUGUUUAUAAAAUUCGGUGAGAAUGCAAGAAAACAUCCUUAUUUUUAUAUCCAAAGAUAAAACCUUUUUGUAAAAGCCCUGGAAGCUCAUAAACAGUUUAAAAUCAAUUCUGAGAGCUGAUAUUAUUAGCAGCUGAAACUCUGUUUCGAUUGACUGGUGGCACGAAAUCAAGAGUCUUCCACUAAACCUGGUAGAGUUGCAUCAGUAGCUCCAUGCCAUCAUCCUUCUGCAGUCACAGCUUUGCAUGUACACACUGCAUAUGCAUAUUCUGGGUCUUUUAGUACUGUCAUUCUUUUGCUUUUAUAGGAGCUGAUUUCAUUAUUGAGUCUUAACUUACGGUGCAGGCCUUCUUUUCCAUUGCUUUGUGCCACAUACUUUGUGCAACAUGAAAGUAACGCUUUCACGUAGUGAAAAAUUAACUUUUUUAACAUGUCAAAAGACCAACACUCUUACAAUCCUCUCAUAGUGCUGAGAGAAGUGGGAGGACGUGAUGAUUGUGACACACUGGGCUGACUUGAAACGUCACCAUCAAUAUUAUUUUGAGACGCUUAAUCCUUAUGCUCUCAGUUCCCCUAUGGUUAAAAAGUGGUUAAUAAGACUUUGGGAAGAUUUUUGAAUAAGUGGAUUUGUCUCUGUAAUGUUUUGUUUGCCUUAUUGAGUUUCAAAGUAAAAACUGCAACUUUAAGGAGAGAAGUGCAUAACAGACUGUGAAUGGUAAAGGUGACAAUCAUGGAGUUGGCACCUGUAAAAAUAAUACCCUUCAAAUGCAUCUUUUUCUUCUACACAUUCUCAACAUUGCUCUCUCUCUCUGGCACAGUUGUACCUUUUCAACUUUAUAAUAACUUGCCUAUUAUUUACUUUUCUUUCUAUGUAUAAGAAAGGAUCAGGGAAAUUAAGCUUGCAAUUUAUACAAAGCUUGACAAACAUGCCUCCCGCCCUAGAAAAUAUUUGUAGUAUUUGGUACAUUUUUCUGUGGUUUUCAAAUUGCUUUUUAUCUUCAGGCUUUUUACACUGUGGUUUUUGGAUAGUUUUAAGGAAGUGAAAAUUCUUUGUUUUGUGAAAGUAAGCAUUAUUUUCCAAAUCCUUGCAGUUUUGAAACUGGAGUUUUUCUAUGUGAGAAAUGCGUUUGUCCAUGAAACACUGGGGAGAUUUACAUGGGAAAUCAAAGGCUCUGUGUGAGCCAAAGGAUGUGCUGACUUUGGAUCUGCUUAGAAAAAGUCUCCUCUAGAAACUCAGGUGCCUUUUCUUAUCCCACCCCUGAAAUGGUUUCUUGUCUGUAGUUGAUUUUCUCAACUCAGGUAAGAGCAGCCCAAGGGCUGCUUUAAUUUUUGUUCACUGGGUUUGGUGGCUAAGGCACCGUACAUAGUAGGAAGGACAGCAGGAAAAGUUGUUUGAGUCUUUGUCUAUUUUUACUUACAAUGGGAAUCAGAGGGAGCAGCUGAGAGACCUAUGUGAAUGUGUGUGUUUGUUGCGUGACCUCAAUUGCUGCUCUUGUUGUAAGUCACAAGGCAGUAUUACAAGAUUUUACCCCAAAGUAUCUGGGGUUUUAUUGGUUUUCAGUAUGUUCAGCCCUCAAGUAAAUACGUAUAAGACCACAAUUUCAGCUUAGAUUUUAAGGAAAUAAUAAUAUAUAUUUGUUUAAUUAAUACUUGAGGCUUUCAAGUAUCCUAGUAGCUCUGUCUCCUUCCAAGCAUAUACUUUGGAAUUACAAUUAACAUGAGUUUGUUAUAGCAAAAUGAUACAAACACUUCAAAGUUAUACUACUUCAUUUUAAUUUUUUUUUACCUGUUUCCUAAUUGAUUUUUUUUCUAAAUUCACAGUAGUGGAAAAUAUCAAAACUGUUAUAUUGUCGUUUAUAAUUUUCUCCUGUGGAAAUGUUCAGCAUUUUCCCGAGUGUCUUAACUUUCUUCCCUGUUUUGAAAUCUCUUCUCUUCUCUUCUCUUCUCUUCUCUUCUCUUCUCUUCUCUUCUCUUCUCUUCUCUUCUCUUCUCUUCUCUUCUCUUCUCUUCUCUUCUCUUCUCUUCUCUUCUCUUCUCUUCUCUUCUCUUCUCUUCUCUUCUCUUCUCCUUUUUUUUUUCCUUAUUUUAAUUGUCAUGUAUCCAUAUCUUGCUGCCUUUGUGUCAGUCCUCAAGGUGUCUAGUGAGUGCUUUCUUUCUGUGACAAAAAGCACACCAAAUAUGUUUUCAUAUCUGUAUUAGAAGUGAUGCAUCACUGGCCUCAAUACUGAUUUUAAUGUGAAGGUUGAUGUGGACUGAUACCAGCUAAGCUGCCAUACUUUCUAAAGUUUGCCACCCAGCAUCAAGAAAGUCUUUCAUCACUGAGCCCUAGAGUUCUGCUUUUACUGUAUGCAUCUGUUCCCUCAACAAUUCCAAUACAUUGGAUUGCAUCUACUGUACAAAAGUAAAACAGUGUACAUAUGGAUUUCCCACCCUGCAAAGACCUGUAGGUUUCUCAAGCAUGGUAUUUGGGACUUCUCUGAUGGUAAUCUUUUCUUCAGUUUCCUCUGUUACUGGUGCACUACUUUUGUUGCCUUUAUUUUUACUUCUCUGCAGUGUCUAUAGCAGGGGAUUUUAAGUAAAGUGGAAGGAGCUAGACACUUCCACCCUAGUGUUCAUCGCUUAACUGGCUAGACUACACUAUUGCCUUUGAUUUAUGAUUUAGGUUGCACGUUUUGUGACUGCAUAAGAGUUCAAAGUAAACUUUAGGAAAACUGGAGGGGUGUCCUGUGGCCAUGCUACUCUUUUGUGGAGUUGAAAGGGAAAAGCUGCUUCAGACUAUUCCUGCAGUGAAUGAUGGAGAAUGAGAAGACAGAGGGCUUCACUGGUUCUUGGAGGAACUGAAAUUCAUUUAUAAAGCUAGAGGGCAGCCAGAUCUUCUUUAACGCUGAAGAGAGCUCAUUGACAUUUGGCAUUUGAUGUCCCUCUUUCUUGCAAUUGGAUAAAAUGGAUAACAAGGAUAUUCAGGGAAGGUAAAGCUUUUUCACAGAAUCAGCAGCAUUUGGGCUUUUUAUACAUUUAUUUAACCACUUAGAAUCUGUCUCUACUCAAACUUUUGUGUUUUUGUGCUCUGUCUGGACAAAGAAGAAACCUGUCCUGUAACACUGUCGUUUUUAUUAUCAGGAUGUUUGAUUAAUUUUUCCACAAAUUGAACUUAAAGGCCAAGCACUUUUUCCUUUCUCUUGCAUGCAUAUAAUAAAGCAUCUUGCUCGUUAAAGCCAACACUCCCAACUGGAAUGUGUGUCUGCUGUCCUAACAGGAAAUUAUCUAUAUUGUCUAAAGCUUUUAUUUUGAGGGUUCUAACAGUACUCUUAUUCAAAAGUUCAUUUCUCCUAAUAUGAUGGUUCUCUAAUUAAUGGUCAGUGAGAUACUAAUCCUGUUUAGCAUGUUGAAUCCCUCCAUCUGGACAAGUUGAAUGCUUGGUUUUAAUAUAUGUGAAAGAAUCUUGUAUUUUUAGAAAUGUUUAUUAAUAAAUGUUAUACUCCAGCAACAGAGCUAGUCACAGAUAUUUGUAUUCUCAGUGCAUGGUGCCAGCCAUUUGUCAAGUUGAUCCCUUUGUCAUCAACUGGUACAGGAAUUCUCAAUGUGGAACUGCCCUGUGUAUACUCUGUUACCCCAAUAUAAGCAACAGAAUCAUUUGUUUAUGCAGGGAUUUUGGAAAAUGCCCACUUUCUUCCCCUCCUAAACAAACAUAUCCUUUCCAUAAGCACUCUAGGUAUGCAGCUUCUACCCUGCUUGAAAUGCAUGGUAUUUUUAUGUGAAGAGAAGCAAGUGACUGAAGGCAUAAAUCAAUCUUCACUUUUAGGAGCAUGGCUGUCCUCCAAGUAGAUACUCUUUGGAUGUGUUUGGGAUGACAUCAAACAGAUUAUAUUCCACACUCCAAAUCUUUCACGUUUCUUACCAGAAUUUGGCAUUAGACCCAAUCUGAUAUUCUGCCUUCUGAACACAAGCGAUUCCAUUCAAUCUACAAUCUGCUCAAACAGAAAAGGAAUGAGAAUGCCUGGAUUGCAUUUAUGAACAAAAAGGGAUUAACCAUUUGUGUUAAAGCUUCAAUUCUUUUUUUUAGCCUGACCCUAUUUUAUCAGAGCAAACUGAAGAACAAUGGCUCUGGAAAUAGAUACAAGAAUCAGCAGCAGAACAGAGACUGUUGUAAUGUGCACAACUAUAAUUAACUUCAAAGGGAAUGAGGCCUAUGCAUCAGUUGGCAGCAAGACAGGGACUUCACCUUUUAGAAUAAGAUAACACCAAAUAUUGCCUAUCUAAUCACAUUUCCAAUGUGUUUAGAGCUCUUUCCAUUCCUCUGUGAACCAUAAUCCUUGUUCAUCUCCAUAUUAUACUUUCUUUAUAGUUUCAUUGAGAACUUCCUAGGAAGCUUUGAUUUUUACUUUUUUUCGUAAGUCUAUCAUAUACACUUUCCUUUUAUUUUGUGCUCUUUAUUUUUAUUCCUAGCCUCAGAGCUAGACAUUUUUGCUGGUCACUUUUGCCAAUUGAUUUUUUAUCUAUUUUGUAACUAUAAUCAUGCACAAUAAAAUGGAUAAUUGCAGUACUGUAACUCUUUUCUUCCAUUCUAAGAUAAGGACUCAGAGCUGUUUAUGCCAAUUCUUCACACAGUGCUGUAAUUACUCUUUUAUAUAUUUUCUAGAAGUGUGUGUGUAUACAUGUGUGCAUUUCACUACUAUAUUAAAGUAAAAUGUUGAUACUGUACUUGUAAAGAGUCUUUGAAAAAAAAAACUAUGAAAAUAAGGUUUUUUAGUUAUUACUACAGUAAGCCUGGAUAUUAUUUUUUGUCUGAUGAGAUCUGUAAAUAAAAAUCUUUUUCUUUUUUGAUUUCUGUUUAUUUCAUUUUUUUCCAGAUAUAUUUGGUUUUCUCUGCUCUGUUGAUUUAUUCACUGAAAGAUGAUAUUUCCAAGUAAUUUCUUAAAAGGAACUUAUAUGAAUCCAUGUUUGUGCAUACAUAUAGACACAUAGCUAUAUACUUCUUUCUUUACACACUUCACAACUUGGGGCUAGUUGAAGAUUGCAGUCAAAAUUUCUGAACUUCUAGAAUGUUUCUUUUACUUCAGAAGUGCAUGUUUCCUCUUUGUGCAGAGUUAAAUCCCUUUGGUAAAUCUAGAGACAAUUUUCUGAAUGUUAACUUAUGCCACUGUUCAGCUCUCUGUAUAUCAGAAAGAAUUGUUUGUUGAAGAAGUGUUUCCAACAUGUCUACAUUGGAAUUUCUUAAAACUUUCAAUUUUGCUUCUAAUGACUUCUACAGGUAGAAUAUGUGUAGUCAACUUGAAGGACUGUGCAGUUAUCUCUAAACCUUCCCCCAUUUUUUACAUGUCAUUUCCCAUUUUUGCUUUGCAUGGACAAACUUUACAGAUCUUUUUCCUAUAAGUAAAGAUUUACAGCGUAGAAUCAUAGAAUAGUUUGGGUUGGAAGGGACUUUAGAAAUCAUCUUGUUCCAACCCCCCUCCCACUAUACCAGGUUGCUCAUCCAGAAUGUCUGUUUAAAUCUGGUACUUGAUCUGUUUCAAUGAGUCCAAGCUCUUUAAGAUUUGAAAUUACUCCUGUGCCUUAUUCCUUUGAAUAUAAGUUGUAUAGAAACUCUUGUAGCUUGAAGAACAUGUUCUUUGAUAUAUUCAGGUGUCUUGUGAGACUGUAUGAGCAGUCUUGCCAUCUCUCAUCCGUUUAUGUAAAGGUGAACUCACAUAGAUUUAAGAAUAAGCGUGUCUUAUACAGAGUAAUAAAAAUGUGUUCUGUAUUAUUUUUCCCAUGUGGGCCUGAGCUGUACUGAAAUGUGCUUAAUCUGAAAUCAAUGUUUUAUCUCUCUGACUUAUUCUGUGUCCAGCUUUAAAGAGAGGGAAAUUGGUCAAAGUUUUACUUUUAAAAAUAUUUUUCUUCUGUAUAUUUACUGAGAGAAAGACAAACUGGCUGAAAGCAUGCUCUUUAAAAAUACAGUGGGAUGGCGAGAGUUCUUUUUCUUUGCUUAGCCUGUAGAGGACAAAUCUGUGUCCUAACCCCUUUUUGGGUGAAGUUUCAACAGUUAGAGGUGGACUCCAAUGCUUGAAAUAGCUUUAAACUCCACUGAUCUAACUCAAGGGCUGUCUGUCACCUAAACAGGUAACCCUGUUUCUCUCUUUGGACUUGUCCCCUUCUCAGCUUGACCUACACAACACUAUGCUUUGAUUUGCAGGAUGUCAUUCAGACUGGUAAAACAGCUGAACCAUCUAACCAACAUUCAAAAGAACACGUCUCUAGCCAGACUUCAGAUGAAUAUCCAGAGCUGCUAGCUUUCUGCCUUAAUUAUGCAGAAUUCCCUGGGGCUUCAGAAGGUGUUCUGACUGUGCAAGUGAUGCUGAAUAAGGUCUCUAGUUUACAGGACUAAUUACCCUGUACUUUAGUUUGGCUUAAGUAUUCUGGCAAAAUCUUGCUGCUGGAUACAUUUAUGUAAUUACUUCUGGAGGUAGUAGUUCUGGAAGAGGCCAUCUCAAGGCAAAAUUGGUUUUAUUAAUACCUUUAAAUUAAAUCUAAUGUUUCUUUAUUCUCACAAUUUGAACCCGAAUGCUGUGAAAAAGAUAAUGAGUCAAGGACAAAUCUCUACUGUAUACUGCAGUAUUUUCCUGUCCAUGUUUUUUAUUCCCAACUGUUAUCUGUAGCUGCAAACGCAUACUGUUAUGAGACACUCUUUUUCCUUUUAAAUGCUGGCUUUCCCAGUACACUUUCAGUUUUCCCCAAAGGUUUCAGUGUCUUUCCCAGCAUCAGUAGCAAUUAAAAUAUCUCCCAGGAGGACGGAUUUUACUUCCAGCUGUGUUCUACAAGUGACUUGAAAAGACUUAAUAACUCAUGCAGAAAGCGGCUUAUAUUCCAGGGGAAUUACUUAAAUGACUUCAUUUCUUACUCCAGCUCUGAGUUCAAAGGGGAUUCAUAUGGCACCCACACCACAAACUCUCUCUUUAAUUCAGAGGUUAAAUGACAUCAAACGGGCAUGAAAAGCUCCUCCACUGUCUUCAUCAGCAGCACUGGGAGCUUUCAGUGUAGUGGAGCGGUGAUGCCCAACAAACUUCUUAGAAACCACUUGUUCAGCAACUCUUCCAACCACCUGCAAGAGCAGCCUACAGAGCAGUGCUGCCAAUGGCUGGAGAAGUCCCAUCAUGAUAAAUUAUACAUGAGAGGUGUACCUGCUGCUACUGCAUCUGACGCUCUGAAUCAGUAAGUUUGAGGGAUUCAGUGUUCUACCUCUUGCAAAUUCACUCUUCAUAAGUUAUUACUAAUUAGAAAUAGCUUAAUGUUCCGUAGCGCUUAGAACCACAAUUCCCAUUGAAGACUGAGCUUACAGCAUUAAGCUCUUCUAGCAAUGCUCUGUGGAUCAGAUACCAAAUUUUUAUUUCCUUCCUUUGCUUUUUGCCUUUGUGAAUAGGCAUGUGCUAUUCACUAUUAGUGCAAGAAAAUCAUUCUCUUUUCAAAUCUUUUGCAACUUUUACUUUUAAAACUAUUGCUUAUGUUAUUUAUUUACAUGAUAAGUGAAUGUUCUUUUCAUCUCCAUUUCCAAUGUAAAUCAAAGAUCACCCAAGAAAAUGCUGUCAAAUACUCUCAUUAGAGCAGCUGUUGAAAAAGUGUCUCUGUGGCACUCCUCCAUCAGAGAAGUGUUUUAAACUUCUUUGAUGGAAAAGUUUGAAGAAGCAAAUGAAGCUAGUGACCUUUGUGUUUAAUGUUUUCAAGAAUUGGGUCUUUUCUCUUGCUUUGCUUUUUACUUUUUUUUUCUCAUUUUAAAAUAAGCUUUGAAAUUCCAAUCAAUUUCCUUUCCCUUGUGUAUUGUCCCUCAGUCUUCUCUUCAGAUGUCAUGACAGAUCUUAGUAACUUAAAAAAGCUAAACUGAUUUCUUCCCUCUCCCUCCCCUCCGCAAACACACACAGAACUCAGAGAGGAAGACUGUUUGCUGGUCAUUAUUUCCUCUUUUUUCUUGUAGCCCUUCUUACUGUGUUUGCUGCAGAUCUCUUGCAGCAACAGAUAAAUAAAUAUUUGAUGACAUGGAGUAGUUGGAUACUGAGUCAGUCAUAACGAUAUUGCAGUUUUGAAUUAGUUUAGAUAAAAAUUCUUGAUGAGGAAAAUAAAAUGUGACAUGCUGCCUAGUGCAACUGCCAGCUGCGGAAUGAGAAGGGGAAAAAAAUGUAAUUUGGAUUUUCCUUUUGUUUAUUUUCCCCCUGUCUCUGUCUGUCAAACCUGUUGCUGUUGGACAAUGGAUGAAAUAUUAGUGAUGGCUGUGAUGUGUCAGUAGCUGAUGAAGUGAAGUGCUAUUUUGCUGUUCAAGGGCCAUUCAACUCCACGUUGUUUCUCUGGUCUGUUGCUUCUGUCAUUCAAACUAUUAUUACAGUAAAUGUUAAAACAAUGCCACCUGAUACUGCAACUCUCCUGGUAUAUUUAACUAGAUUUAUGGUACCUCAUUGUCAGAAUGCUUUGGGGGACAAUUAUAGUUACUUUCAGCAAUUUAAGCAAUGUAAGAUUUACUAAUUAUCAGCGAAUUUCUCUCCCUCUUGUUUCCAAGCUACUGACAGAUAUUUGUUGAGGAAUGCUCUGGUUGUUCAUUCUGAAUGCUCUAGUCUCAAGCCUGAUGAGCAAGGUAGUGAACCUGCACAGACAAGACCAAGACAAAGGCUCUGGCUAUGUUUUUUUCAUGUGCGGUUUGGCACAACAUGGGACAAGAAAAGCAGCAGGACAACAGAGUCAGUCUUUGAGGAUCUGCUGUUGCCUACGGUGCUGUGGCGUGCUCCAGUCAGCUGGAAUGUGUUGCUGCCAUUUUCCUCGUCUUCCCAAGCUUUGCAGAUUUUGAUUUUCAUAAGUGUCAUAAGGAAAAUGACACUUCUUUAAGAUUCCUGCAUUGUCCUGAUGUCUGAAUGUCAAUGUGUUUCACUUCUUAUAUAUGAAGCACAUGGGUCUUGCUUCAGGAAGAAAUAACAUGGUUGUGCAUGCAGCUGUUAGCGCAAAAAGUUAUUGUGGGGGAGUAAUUGCAUGAACAAAGUGGCCAAUGGGCUACAGUGGAGUUAAUAUUGAGUAGGGAUUUUUGUAGCCAGGGAGGGCAAUGCUGCUCAUUUUGAGCUAACCCAUACUUAGCUAUUUCAGUUACUGAUAACUGAUCUGGGAUUGUUGUCUCCAUUUUUGACUCAUGAAAUCUUACUUUUGCAUAACACAAACGCAGAGUGAUGAGUGCAUGUGUUUAAAAUCUUGAGAAAACCACUAAGGAGGCCCCAUCCUAUGCUAAUGGAAGUCCUGCUGCUAUUCUUACUCAGCUAGGCUUGACGGAGAGCUGCACUGUAAGUGCUCCCAUUAGCAUCAUGUAGGGGAAAGCAUUUCAGCUAAUGUGCUGUGCUCAUUUCCUCCCAGUGCCCUCCUCUGUUCUUGGCUUGCUCUCCGCCUUCCCCUCCUGGUAUAAGAGGGGAGGCUGUGGAGAUGAUAUUGCUCAUUGCUAAGGGCUCUCCCCAGUCCUUAGUCUCUGUUGUGCAUUGGUUAUUUUGUUCUUUUGCUGGCAUGAACAAAGUAAAAAAAAGGCUUAUUCUAUUAGUUCAUUGAGUUUAUCAGAUUCUCUGAGGCUCCUUAAGUGACAGGGAGCAGCAACACAAAUACCACAUUUUGCAUAUUUUUAAAUUCUAGGUACAAGGCUCUUUUUUUUCUUUUUUUUUUUCUUUUGCUAUGCUUUAUCUUCGACUCUGUGUUUCAGACGAACUCAUUCCAUAAUUAGUACUAAGUUUUUGGUUCUGAAUUUUCAGUCGUUAGACCAAAUUAAAAAACAAAGAAAAAAAGUCAAAAUAAUAUGCAUAUUGAUGAGCUGUGUAAUGACACAUCCCUAUUGUAAAGUAUGUACAUGUAGAAAGAGGCGAUAUUUUUGCAGUCUGGCUCUAAAAUAUUUUAGAGAGGCGCUGCAUGUGCUUAUUUGAGCUCUGAAUUUUAAAUGAACUGAGCUGCUUGCAGCAGAAUCUCAUAAAAAUCCCAGCAAUCGCACAGCUGGAUGAUAAAUUAUGGGAGGACAGCUCGAGGGAUGUCAGUCCAAGGGUCGUUUUACAGUUUCAGCCUUGAAUGUCACCUUUUUUACUUUAGAUAUUGGGACUCCCUGUGCAGCGUCCAAGAAGUUUGUCGCCAGCUGCCUUCAUUGCUUUUCUGUGUUUGUUUACUUUUUUGGUGGCAUUGGCCAGCCUGCUUGAAGCUGGCAAACCAAACCAGGGAAGUACUCUGCCCAAGGUAAUCUCUGCCAUGUUUGUUCCUCCAGCGUGGAUUUGCUCCUUUGUACUUGCCAGUGUACUGUGGACUACUGUUAAUGCGCUCCCCUCUGCACUUGGUUCUUUCCUUAUACCUUCCCUCAUCUUCUUGUCACAAGUGCUUCUUCCACUUCUGUGUAAUGGUUAGAAACUUGCCAUGAGAUUGUAAGUAAAUCAUGAAUCUUGCUGCUCUCUGCUGGUUUCUGUUGCAUUUGCUGCUCUGAUUUUCCUGGCCAGCACGGCCACUUAUUUACUUGCAUGAUUUUCAAGGUUUCUUUUUUCUUUUUUUGGUCUAAAUAUUACAUUCUCAAUGACUUCCUGAAAUAACACCCCCAAAUUUAUGCACCAUCCCAACAUGAUCAUGUAUGUGAAUGCUAAUUGUGAGACUGUGCCCUUGAAGACUUGAUCCUGUUAGGUAUGUUUGCAAGUUGCAUUUUUAGAAUGUUAUUUAAGCUUUUUUUUUUUUCCUAGUUAUGUUCAGAUAGAAUUGCAAAGGAGUAAAUUCCUGUAGUGUUUGGCUCAGUUUUAGAGAGGUGAUGAUGUGUGUAGCUCCAAACAGAAAUUAAGAUUUAUUGUCCUAUUACUAAGGCACAGAAAUUUAAUAAUUAUCAUUUAGAAUAAUAGACUAUCUGUGACUUCCAAGAGGAUGUCUCCUAACAUCUUAAGAAUUUUAUCCUGUAUGUGUAAACAAUAAAAUAAUAACUGGAAGACCUGUUCAGAAUUGAAAGAAAUUAGCUAUUGGAAAUUAACAACAGGAUAGUUUAUUAAAAAUUCAUUUUUCAGUGAAAGAAGAGGCUAUAAAAAGUAGCUAAUAUUUCCAGUGACUUUCCUCCUGUCUGGCAUCAGGGAAUGAAUCAAGAAAUUCUGUUUCUGCCUGUGGUAUAAGGCCCUCUGAAGAACAUGAAUUUCUUACUUUAAGAUCAGAAUAAAGGAAAAUUGAGACUUGGUAGUGCUUGAGGCAUUGGGUUUUUGGGGCAUCCUUGUGCUGUUUUCUUCUCCCUUAUUAGAAAAGGACUAGACCUAGAUGGGGACAAGGGCUGAAAGGAGUUCCUAGGAGUUAGGAUUCGUCGUGUGAUUAGACAAACAGGAUAGGUAAUUAAAAUGACUGGAUGUUAUAUAACUUAAAAGAACAAUCUAUCUUUUCAGUCAGGUAUUUAUUAUUCUGAAUAUAUACUUACCUUGCUUUGAUGCUGUAUACUGUCAUUUCUGUUUGAAACUUCUGUGCUAGCUUUCAAUACAAGGAUUGCAAAGCCUCUACAGAGGCAGCUAGGAGAGAAUAUGUGGUAAAGUUGGGAUUCAUCCCACAAAAUGCAGGAGCCAUGUACACAAUCUUGAGCUCCACCUACCAGGAAUGUAAUGCUGUGUCUCAGAAUGGACCGGCUUGCAUCAGCCAGCACCACGAUUGCAGCUAAUAUUGCUUGCAGAUUUUCCCAACAUGGUUAUGUUAGAUUGGUGCUCUGGUGGCUGCUGUUCCCUGUUUCUCGGCAGAACUAUUAACCUUGAGCAUUGUGCUGAUAACUUUAUGUUGCCAACAGUGAUACCACUGGCAUGUUCGAGGCUAGAUUGGGUAUCUGUGUUGGACUUACUCUUGCUCAUAGAUUUGUCCACACUUGACUGGCUUGUACUGAGAGCAGGUUCAGGAUGAGAAACUGCCUUGUACAGAUGACUUCUUGUUGUGCCUUGCUUUGCUUGUUCUCAAGUUGAAAAUACUACUUUUCUAAAUGCUUUAAAAAUUUAAGCACAAAGGGUGCUAUGUAAAAUCCUCAACAUGUCCAAAGAACAUACCCUGUAUGGUGAUGGAGUUGAAGAAAGGAGACUAAUGUCCAGAUGGACUGCAUCCAGCUUGGAUGAUCAGUCUCUAAAUUUAGAGAAACUGAUUUCUGGGAGGUGUACUGUUCUUUCAGUAUUGUGUUGUGGUUCCUAGGAGUAGUCUUCAAGAUUCACAAUUAUAUCAGACUAUAACUCUCCAAUUUUCAGUAAAUUGUCUCCUCUCUAAUCUUUUCGAACAAGUUUUUCUUCCUCUUCUCCAUUUCCAGCAUCUACAGAUACACCUAGCAGUAGGCAGACAAGAAAGGAAUGAAGGAAAGGUUCAAAGCUUUUUCCACUGCCAUCUCAGGCUGGGAUAAGGAGACCCCAGGAUAUAUUUUAUGCCUUUUGCUACUGAGGAGGCUAGCAGGAGUGACCUUCUGUUAGGAGCUCUCCCAGCACACUGGAGAGGGAACGGGUUAAUGACUUGGGCUUCUCAAAGUCACUAGAAGGUCCUGUCCCUGGGGUACUAGAGAAGGAGAAAAGAGGGGUAAUCCCUGGGUUUAUGUGCUCACUAGCUGUGUCAGCCGCUGCCCUGUCAUCUGCUUCAUCUGAGCAGAUGCUGAAUCAUGGUUCUGGGAUUUCUGAGAAUUAUCAUCUUUCUUUCUCCUCUUGCCCACUCCCUUCCCCCAGUACUUUAAACCUUCCUCUUGUCUUUUGCUCUAGUGAUUUAGGGAUUAAGCUGAGUGACAUGACUGUAGAUCAGAGCAUUUUCAGAUAGAUUCAACUUCUAUUGCUGCUACUGGUGAUGGGAAUACCAUCCUUUUGUCUUUUUUUUUAAUUCACUCAAAGUUGUUUAGUUGCUGUAAAACAUAUGCUUGAUAUAGACUGCUAUACUCAUUCUCUAUUAAUCAUCAGCAAGCACAGUAAGUCAAUGUGGGCUGUGUGUGUGGAGAAAAAAUGAAUGUAGACAUAAUCAGAGCUAUUCCGCUUGGAGUGAAUAUUAACAGCAGUGUUUUAUGAUAAACUAUAAUUGAGGACAUUAAUUUACAGGAGAAAAUCAUCUUCCUUGACAAAUGUGUUGCUGUUGCAUCAGGUGCUGACAGAAGCAAUAUUACCUAGCUUUUAGUAAGUCUUUCUAUAUGAAUGUGCAUGUAUAAAAGAGUAUUUUAGGAUCCAAAAAAAUAUUCUUUUGAAAGUGUUUCGGUUUUCAAUUUGAUUUCCCCAUUUGCUUUCUUUUCUUAGGGAGUUAAACAGAUUUCAUCUCCAUCUUUGUUCUUUUUUUUCAGCUAUGAGCAUAGCCUGUAUACAUAUUUAUCACUACCUAUACAUAUUUAUCUAAAUUUGCCUUGUCAAUUGCAAUAUUAUUAGAAGCUUUUAUGUGAAGGUAAGCCUGAUUUUUGGUCUACAUAUAUGCUUAGAUUAUUGUCUUUUAUUCUUUUGUGUCUGAUCCUAAGUAAUUCUGCUGGUGGCAAUGACAGUGCCUCUCAAUUGCACAGUUCAAACAGAGGAACUGACUCUGUUUUCUUGUUCUGUUACUUUUGCAACAGAGCAAAAAUUUCAGGCUGUGGCAACAAAAUGAGAAACGUUAAUUUCAAAAAAAAAAAAAAACAAGUCAAUCUACACCUUUCAUUAUCACAAAUAGAAGUAAGGCAGCAUAAGAAAGCAUUAGUUUCAUUUAGGAUUAUAUGGGAAAAAUCGUGAAUUGGCAGGGGGGGAUUUCUCCAUUGGAAUGUGCUCCUUACAUGGAAGUGAAACUGCUUGGUAUAUCAGCAACAAAAGCAGGAAUUGACCACUGUGAGCUCAUGUAGUAUCAGAAAGAACACACAAAAAAAACCCACCCCACAUACAGUAGAUGAAUGCAAAGAUGAAAAUGGCUGAGAACCUUGUUCCACAGAAGAAAUUCCAGUAAUCUGCAAUUUUAUUUUGGUUAUGGUGAUUCAUGUCUCUUUAGAAGUUUUUCAACAACAACAACUGUUGUUUGCUGUCUUUGAAACCCACGUGCUCCUGCUGAAGCAGAGUUUGAACCAGCAUGGAAUUUGGCUUAUCAGACUGUGUCUGUGAAGCCAGCAGACUUUGUCAUGCCGGAUUGCAUCUGGAUUAGAAACUGAGGGGAAAUGUAGUGACACAUUCUGAAAAGAAAAAGACAAGCUUUAUUGGCUUCAGUGAAAUCUCAUAAUCAGAUAAAUGUUUCAUACUUUAGUUAUUAUCAUUAUUUAAGGCAUAAUGUUAUUCAUUAAAUAUGUGCUUUAAAGUUAAUGUUCUCAGAGAUGUUUCCCAUAUUACAAAAGCACACAUAAGUCAGUUUUCAUCUUGAGGCAUCUUCUGAUCCUCAUAAGAAUUUAUUAUGCUUUUUGAUGUGUUUUUAUGAAAAUCAGGAUGGAAGAACAGUGCAUUUUAUUUAUUUAUUUACUUACUUACUUAUUGUAAGCAGUAAGCACAGAACAAUGUUAUUUAUGGUCAUGUCUUCGGAUGACAUUGGUGCAGUCCUGAAGACUGGUUUAAGGGGAUCAGUGGCUUAUGCAUCUCACUCUGAAGAAAAGCUGAAUGUUAUUUAAGUACAUAUUAGUAGGCUGAAUAGAAAACGAAUAAGUAAAAGUUCACAUUGCUAUUUACAGGAGGUUAAGCUGGUUGACUCCCUUUCCUGGAAGGAGUCUGACCAGCAGUUUUGUAUGUCAUUCUCAGAGAACACCAGUGGUUGCAAACUGAAUACAAACCUAGGAGAAACUGGAUGAUUGCAAACACACACUCCCAAACAUUUGUCAAAAGUAUAGCCGUUGAAAUCCACUAUUUCUAGCUAACCAUAUUUAGAUUAUAAAGAAUGUCAGUAUGAUGUGGGUAAGGGAAGAAAGGGGCAGGAAUGGGAUCAUUAUUGUUUCUACUGAGAUUGAUGACUGGCAAAAAAACCAUCUUGGAUUAUUUGGACAGAUUAUCUAGAACAGCAUAUUUCUAGAGUUUAUCAUUAAUGGAAGGUGUAGCUGUCUGCACUAGAUGAGGCUUUCCAUAAAGCUAUGGGGAUCGUGCAACCAAAAAAUGUAGGCCACAUUUAAGCAGACUAUAGUAAAGCCUAAUAAAUAGGUGGGUUAUUCAUUACAAUACUGAAAUAUUCAUUUGAAAAUAAAAAGGUUGCAACAUCAAUCUACGUGUUGUGUUAAAUCACAGCACAAAACCAAAGAAACUCGGUGUUAUUGCUGCCAGCACAAUGCCAACUGAAGGGAUGAAGUUCAGAUGUUUCAACGGUAAGGAAGGUAUCUUCCAGACAGAAGAAAAGGAACGAUAAAAGGAGAAAGAAAAAUAAAACCUGAGUGUUCUAAAGCCUUGGAGGUUUGGCACAACUCUAUGAAAAAGUAAUUUUCUGUAUUUUGAAUGGAUAAUGAUGGCUGGAAACACUAGUGUAAGAUGUAGUUUGGUCACUGAAAAGGAGCCAUCUAUUUUGUUUGCAUUCAGUGGAGAAAGUAGUGACAGCUACUCCUGUAGCUGGAGCUACUCCUGGAGCUACUUCUCCAGAAAAAGGAGAUCAAGAACAGCCAUAAAGCUAGCUGUUUUGUUUGUUUUUUGUUGUUGUGGUUGUUUGUGUAUUUGUUUUUGUUUUUUGAGAAAAACUUGAGAAGGUGGUAAACAAAGCAGAGUGAGAUGCCUACGUCGCAGGGCAUCUCACCACAAAAGUUAAUUUGUCACUGCCUAAUGAUUGAAAUGCUGAUGUUAAAGAAUACCCAUGCUUAAGCAAGCUUAGCGCUUGCUUAAUUUGCAGAUUAAAUUAUGCAGAUUCAGUUUUGUGCAUAUUGCUGGGAUGAACAAAUUAGAUAAUUGGUUUAUGCAAAGCCUUUUGAAAAAGGCUGUUCAUGGAGGUAGAACAAUAGCUUAUACAACACAGAAUGAUCUGGGAUGCCAAAGGAAGCAGAUCUCCAUCAGACUCUUUAGCGCCAACUGAUUCCUGAACACAGUACGCCUAUUCCUGUUCAUACAGGCAUCUUCCCAGGCUAAAGGAUUUAUUGUGCUACUUUCCUGUAGUUCUGAAACUCUUCUGAGGCUUGACAAGCAUCAUUUAUUCAAGUCUUUAUGGAUUCAGCAAAAUGGUGACUAUUUUGUCCCAUGAGCAUCUGAGCUAGUUACCUGCUAUCAGCUUCAUAUUGUGCUGAGAGGCAACAUAAAUACAGGUCAUUGUGUAACACUAGCACACUUGUAGGCUUUGGGAUUUUUGUUGUUCUUGGUUUGUUUAUUUUUAGAUGAGUUAAAUAUUCCCUACAUCUUCUUUUGCACUCAGGGUAACUGCUGUUUUACAAGCAACCAAAUUGUACUGCAGUCAUGGAGUGUGCAGGCUCACCUUGGGUUAAAUGGUUUCUUCCAUUUCAGAUAUUCUGCAGACCAGAUUUAAAUUCUCCAGUGUUUGUUUAGGAUUCUGUACUCAGCACUUUGCAUUAGUUGAGAAGAAGCUCUGCAUUUAAAUUAUUCAGUCUUUAAGACUGAUGAAAAUUGUCAAUCACCUGCUAGCAUAUUUUACUUACCCUAAAGGAUGCUUACAGGUGCAAAAAUUCACAGCCAGUAACAUUUAUAGAUUGUUGAGUUUAUUUUUUUGUCAUACAACUGUCAUUCUCUUUGUGUUGUCUUUGUUUUUCAUGUUGUUCAGCAGAGUACAAGCAGCAACUGGUUUCUGGAUCUUAAAAAACAAAUUCCAUUCACUUUAAAUUGACCAGACUGACAGUGAAACAAAACAGCAUGCAAUUCUUAAUCCCUGACAUUAAAAAGGAAUAGCUAGAAUGUCAUGCAAAGGAAGAAAAAUGCUUCCUUAGCAGGCUAUUUAGAUUGUGUUAGCUGUGAAGCCACUAAGUAUUGUUACUUCAGAUACUUACUUUCUGUCAAUGCAUAUGGAGAAUAGAUUAUAUCAAUUAUGAAUUGACUAUAAAAAUGUCUUCCUGCACACUGGAGGUUAUGUUGACCCUGAAAGAGUGGUGAUCCACAUGGAAGGAACUCAUCUAAGCUGGUGUUUUGCUGGCUCGGGGCUCCCUAGAGUAGGAAGGAACAACUGAUCAACACAGCCUAUUCUAGCACUUAAGAAGGGUAGAAAGGAUGACCCAGGGAACCUACUGACCUGUUAGCCUCACCUCUCUGCCAGGGAAGGUUACGGAACAGAUCCUACUGGAAGCUAUGCUAAGGUACAGGGUGGUGAUACAAGACAACCAACAUGGGCAGGUUACUGUUUUUAUCAGCUUCGUCACUACCAGGUAGAAACCAGCCUUCUCAAUUUUCUAAAGACGGCCCAAAAAGCUCCAGCUUCACAUAUGCCCAAAUGACAGACGUAGAUCAGAGCACACAAGCAGCUUUUUAUGUGCCUGCUUGUCUUGCAGUUGGCUUUGUUUGGAAACAGUAGUGGGGUGCUUGGUCUGCCUGAGGACUGAGAAACUAUUUAUACUUCCUACUGGCAUUUGCCUGUUCAGCACAUAUUAUCAUCAAGUAGGAAAGUAUAUACCUCCUGUUUCCUCUUUCCGCACAUGAUAGAGCGAUAUUUUCAGAGUCAGAGCACUAAGUUGGAUUGACCAAUGCCGUUUAUAAGAAUGUUAAUCUACUGCAACUCAGUUGUGCUGUGUGAUGAUUCAUAAUUUGUAAUCCGCUUGUUCCUGCUUAGCUGACUGUAUAAUGAUACAGUAAUAUCAUUUCAUUAAUUGAUAGUUUGAUAACUGAGGAAUUGGUGGCUAAAAACGUAAUUCUUUGUUUACUGUUUUCAUACUGCAGAAGAAGUAUUUUUCACUAUAUAGUGAGAAACAUUUCAGUCCUGCUGUUUUAUUGGGAAUAUUGUUGCCCUAUUAUGCUCAAACACCCCAUAUUUUUUUCCUUUUAGAUGAAUAUUUCUGAACAAGAGUAAAUUUAUGCUAUACCCUCUUUUAAUUUCCUUCUGUUAAGACAAUAGAAAAUCUGUGAAAAAAGAUACAGCUUUUGUGGGAAGUGUGCUAAGUGUGAUGAAUGCAUUCAAAGAGACUUGAAAUAUUUUGACUUCUACUGAAGAGAUGUAGUAGUGAAACUUGAAAUAACAAUAUAAUUAUUUCCCUAUUUUGUCUGCUUUAAGUAUUUCUAUUUCCAGAUCAAUAACAAGAAUAAUAUCUAUAAUUGAAUAGCAACACACUAUCAAGUUAUGUAAAAAAAAAAUCUUUAUCCUUCAGAAAAAUUAGCCUGUUUUGCACAUCGUCAUGUAUUUUGGACAUUUACCUAAGAAUUUGUUAUCUUUCCUGCAGGAUUAACUAGGGAUAGUCUAGUAGCUAAAACUGCAUUUUAUUGUUUCCUUUUCUCAUACAGUUGUGUUUUCAAUGAUUUUCCCCUGCUCUUCUGCUCCACAAAAAGCAUACUGCUUUAGGGUAGUUUUAGGGGGGAAAAAUAAUAAGAUGGACAAAUGUAGAAUCCCUCACAAACACUAUUUUUUUUUCUUUUUUUCUUUUUUUCUUUUUUUUCCCCAACCAAGGUACAAAUUGAAAUGUUUGCUUUAUAAUGUUUCUGACAGUUCCCCUGUGAACUGCAGCUUGGGACACUGAGUCGUUGACUUCUAUAAUAUGCUCUGGACCAUUCUCUUUAAGUGAUCUGAAAUUCCCAAGACUAUCCCGUGGCAAGAUACCCCUACGUCUGUGUAGUUAGGGCUUCAGUGAAUGACUGAUGAAAAGACAAGCCCAAGCACAGAACAGCUGAACCUCUGCAUGAAAUGUGGGAAGGCCACUCCUCUGGAAAUGUUCAACAUUCCUCAGAAAAAAAGUACUUUUCACUCAAACAGUGACUACAGGGCAGUGAGAAGUUCUUCCAAAAGGACACAUUAUUUUUCAGUCUCUUGCUAUAUUUAAUUUUAGUCUUCAGUUCUGUCACAUGGGAUAAUCAAUGGAACAACGUGACCGAGUAUUGAAGUGUGUGACUGGUUUGGGGCUGAAAUUCUGAAUAGUAUCCUAUAUGCUUCUUGCUGUAUUGUGAAGAAUUUUUUAUAAGCAAGUAUUAUUUAUUUUUCUUUGAUUUUAUAGGAAUAGCUAGGGAAGAUAACACUAGUCAGAACAUUAGCUUUUCAAAACAAUGAUUUGAAGUCACAUGAGAUCAAUCACAUAUUUGUAUGUCUUCAUUUCUCAGAAUGAAAACAGAAAAAAACAGAGCAGAUUUCAGAUAAUCUGGAAAACGGGGUUUUUACCUUCAGCUAUGUCUUUGAGGUUUUCAUGGAAACCUGCCAGGAAUGACUGCUUUUUUUCAACAUCUCCCAUCUCCAUGAUUUAUUUAUAUUUAUAUCUCGGUAUUUGGGCUGAAAAGCUGUCUUGAAAUUUACGGAGUACGAUUUGAUAACAAAAAAUGCUACUCUGUAACCCCGUGUGCUAUUAUGAGCUUAAAAAAAAAUCUUUAAAUCUCCCAGGUACUGCCAGGAGGCAGUUAAAUGGCUCGAUGUUCCAGCCCCAGGAUGACAGUUGUAGUGCCCUCAUUGCUCUGCAGUUGUGGUGGUGGGCUUUGACCUUAGUAGUAACUAAUGUGGGAGUUACUCAUGGCAAAAAUGUCCAACAAGAGUGAAGUUCACAGUUUUUGGAAACCAUUAAUUCUAAUCAAACUCUCUUAAAUUUGGGAAAUCUUCCUAUUCCCCAUCUUGUAGCUGUAUGAAAUUACAUCAGAAAUACUAGUAUUUUUUGUCACUAAGAUUGUUUUAGCUGGGAUUUUGUCCUACAGUUUACACAAGAAAUCACCUAACUUUCAGAAACAUCUGUGAUGCCUGAAAAUUCUCUGUGAAACUUUCUGUUCUAGGAGAUGUUUUACUGGCUGUAUAACUGACUGAUGCAACUGUGUGGUUCUUUUGAGAGGAUUUAUAUACUGUUGCAGUCCUUGAGUUUGAAAAGCUUCCAAAUUUUCAUUUAUGAUACUAACCCUUGCAAAUGGAAGCUAGAGGAUAGAACAGAGAAGGUGAUGGAACUCAGUUUAAAUGAAGACAACAUUUUUAUGGCACCGGAAGGACUAACAGUAAUCAUUAUUACUAAUGACCUCAUAAAUCAGAUUAAGAAAAAAUGAGUAAGAGCACACUGGAUAUGAAGAGUGCGGCUUUAUAAUCUGGGCUGAAACACCCUUGCAUUUUAUCUAACUUCCUCUUUCACUUAAGGAAAGAUGAUGCCAAAUUCAUGAUACAUUAGAGAAUUUUUUAAAAUCUUUGCAUUGGUUUUGCCAUUGAAGUGCAAGGUUGAAAGAUCUUUAUUAUGUAUUAUUAACAUUUAACAGAGAACUGAUCUUCCCCGUCUGAUACUGCAGGUUUUUCUUCCAGGAAAAUCUGUACUGAAGUAUCCUGAUUAAUUGUGGGUUUUGUUUUGUUUUGUCUUCCAUCCUGGUUGCAUUCUUAGAAGCACGAGGCAGGUUCUGGAAGAAAAAAGAAAAAGAAAAAAAAGAAAGAAAGGAAGAAAGAAAGAGAGAGAGAGAGAGAAAGAAAGAAAAGUAGAAAUGUUUCAAGCUUUCAUUGGAGAUAGAAGAGUAUUAGUGUAUUAGUCCCCUAGUGUUAACCUAAGGCCUUGAAUCUUUCUUUAUACCAUAUGGACUUUUGCAGUUAUUGUCUAGUGUUUUUUUUUGUUUUUGUUUUUGGUUUUUUUUUGUCUGAUAAAGAAAACAUGGAAAACUCAUUCAUCAACAGAACUUAUUUUCAGAUGUCCACAGCUCCCCAUUGGAAACACAAAAUGUCUUUACUUGCAGCAGAAUUUUCUGCCCUUGGUAUCUCAGCUUUAUUCUCCUUUGGGCCAGACUCAGGUCAAACAAAGAUCAAAACCAUAAUGUUUGGUGGUGGACUGUUAGUUGGAUUUGUAGAUAGGGAUAGGAGACAGACCUUAUUAACAGUUUCAAUAUUGAUCCAAUAAAUUCAUUUAGACUACAUAGUCACUUCUGUUAAAAAAAAAAAAAAAUCUGCCUUCUCUUUAAUAAUAAAACCCUUUCUCUUAUUUCCUGAAUAAUACCCUUGCACCUGUUAGGUCAGCAUACAGGUUACAGCAACUUCAUUUUCAGAUAAAGCUGCAAGAUUUCAGAUUAACAGUAACAGAUUUUCUUCAUUUUUUUAUUAUUAUUUUUUUUAAUCCCUCAAAGACAGUAUUUUUUGAAAGAACAGCAAAAACAAUCUUACUAUGCAUGUGUAUUUUUUUCCAACUUUACAUAUUGUUGAAGGUUCUUAAUAAUUAUUUUCUUUAAAUUGAGGGUGUUGGACAGAUAGGAAAAUUCUAUCAGGAAAUGUCCUUAUAUAUACACAUUUAUGAGAUGCAUUAAAAACUUGUUUGUUUUAGAAUUUGUGCGUUAAUCCAAAUGUGGUCAAUUUAUGUUUCAAAAUAGAAUUAAUUAGGCUGCUAUGUGAAGUGUAGAAAACAGCAUUGUUUUAGGGAAUUCAGACUCCUUUUAAGUCAAUGUAUUAAAAAAAUCAUUUGUACUUAGGGUUUCUAACCUUACCAUAACUGUGGUAUCCUGGAUCAUAACUUCUUGUUCAGUAGUUGACCUCAAGACUCAGAAAUCCUUAUUCUGUUUUGUAAUAUGUAAAUGGAGUCUUUGACAUUAACAGAACAUUGUGUUUCAUACUUUCUUCAUUCAGUGCUCAUAGCGAAAAUAUCUAUCAGCGCACAUCAGGUAGGCAGGAAGAAGAUCCUUUUUGCCUGCUUUCCAUUUACAUUCUGAAAACAGGGACUUGGAUCUGAAACUGUAGUGUGGGUGCAGCUCCAGUUUGAGAGCAGAAUAAUGAUUUCCAGCCUCAAUUCCAGUGGUUUUUCUGAUGUUUUCACACAGAAUCACAGAAUUGCAGGGGUUGGAAGGGAGCUCAAGUGAUCACCGAGUCCAACACCCUACAAUAGGUCUCACAGGUGGGCGUCCAGACAGGUCUUGAAUAUCUCCAUAGAAGAAGACUCCAAAUCAUCUCUGGGCAACCUGUUCCAGUGCUAUGUUAUCUUCACUGUAAAGAAGUUCUUCUGCAUUUUUGUAUGGAACUUCCUGCAUUCAAGUUUUAGGCCAGUGCUUCUUGUCCUAUCACUCUGCAUCACUGAGAAGAGCCUGGCUAAAUCCGUUUGCCUCCCAUCUCCUUCAAAUAUUGAAAAACAUUUAUCAGAUCCUCUCUCACUUCUUUUCCCCAGGCUGAAUAGACCUAGGUUACUCAGCCUUUCCUCUUAUGGGAGAUGCUCCAGGCCCUUAAUUAUCUUUGUGGCCCUCUGCUUGACUCCUAGGAGAUCCCUGACUUUUUAGAACUGGGAAGCCCAGAACUGGACACAGUAGUCUAAAUGCAGCCUUGUCAGGGCAGGGUAGACGGGGGAGGAUCACCUCCCUCAACCUGCUGGCAUGCUCUUUUUAAUACACCCCAGGAUACCAUUGGCAUCUUGGCCACAAGGGCAUGUUGCUGGCUCAUGGCCAACUCACUGUCUACCAGGACACCCAAGACCUCCUUCUCAGAGCUCCUCUCCAGCAUGUUAUCCCCUAACCAGUACUAAUGCAUGUUUUUCCACCAUUAUGGCUGAGAAUCAGUGCACAUCCCUGUUGUUGCUAAUCCGUCAACAGUGGGGAAUUGUGCUCCACACAAGGUGCAGUGCAGGGCAGUAGGCAGUACUGUCCACCAUGUUUAUUAUUCCCCGUGGACAAUAGGAGCCAGCUACAUGUCAGUUCAGCUCUCAUCUGACAGCCCAGGUUUAAAUAUGUGUGGAUAUUGACAGAUUGCUUCCUCGCCCAGCUCUGAGGUGGAAGUAGUAGUGUUCCUUUCUUGCAAUGUGAAGCCAGAGGAAAUAAAUCCCUUGGCAGCCAACCUGGCUCUGUGCAGUCACAGCAGGUGUGUCUGUGCUAUGUGUGUUUUCAGAAGACAGUAUAGGAAUACUGAGGUGGCUUCAUGUGGAAAAGUCAUUUGAAAAGCGUAAUUGGACCCAGCCUGGUUCCUUGACACCUGCCUCAGUACUUGGGCUCUGUGCUUCCUUGCUUUACUGCUAAAAAAACAAACAAACAAACAAACAAAAAACAGCACAACAGCAAUGGCCUGUUCCAUUCAGGGGAGUCCUGCUAAAAGCUCCAACCAUAACCUUUAAGACUUUACGCAGGGAAACACUGCCAGAUGGAUGACGGAACAGAGCUGAAAAAUGAAUCAGUGCUAUUAACGUGAUUUUAAAAAAAGAAAAAAAAAAAGCAUCAGAUGAAUGGUUUUCUCAGUCUAUUGAAGUAUGAGAGAGAACUUCUGGAAAGUAUCAGACAGGUAAGACAAAUGCUUUUUUUUUAUUAUUUUUUUAAAAUUAACUUGUACUUUCAGAACUGGAAACUUCCCUGGUUGACAACCCAAAGGAAUAUUGAUACACCCAGAGGGGAAACUCUGCCUGUCUUAACUGUGACAAAAUCUUUGAAAGGAAGCACAGGAAUAACAUCAGCAUUUUCAAAAAGGAGAACAACACUCUAGAGCCCUGAGAAUGUUUCCGAGAGGCUUUCCAGUGGGAAUGUGUGCGGAAUUUAAAGAGGUCACGUGAACUCACAGGAGAGAACUUUCUCCUUUCUAUGAGGUGGGGAGGUACCCAUGGGAAGCCAUUUUUUCAGGAGGCUAACAAAUUGCUUUAGAAGGUGAGAAAUUAACGUGAGGGGAGAAUCACAGAAUCAUAAAAUUACUCAGGUUGGAAAGGACCUCAAAGAUCAUCAAGUCCAACCACAGCCUAACCAUAGUACCCUAACUCUAACAACCCUCCGCUAAAUCAUAUCUCUGAGCACCACAUCCAAACGACUCUUAAACACAUCCAGGGAUGGUGACUCAGCCACCUCCCUGGGGAGCCUAUUCCAGUGCUUAACCACCCUUCCUGUAAAGAAGUGUUUCCUAAUGUCCAACCUAAACUUGCCUUGGCACAACUUGAGGCCAUUUCCCCUUGUCCUGCCACCUGUCACCAGUGAGAAGAGACCUACCCCGCUCUCACUGUAAACAUCUUUCCGGUACUGGAAGAGAGUAAUAAGGUCUCCCCUGAGCCUCCUCUUCCCCAGACUAAACAGCCCCAGCUCCCUCAGCCUCUCCUCAUAGGGCUGAUUUUCCAAGUCCUUCACUAGCCUCGUUGCCCUUCUCUGGACCUGCUCCAGUACCUCCAUGUCCUUCUUGUACUGAGGUGCCCAAAACUGAACACAGUACUCAAGGUGAGGCCUCACCAAUGCCAAGUACAGGGGCAGGAUGACUUCCCUAGUCCUGCUCACCACACCAUUCCUGAUACAAGCCAGGAUGCCAUUGGCCUUCUUGGCCACCUGGGCACACUGCUGGCUCAUAUUCAGCCGACUGUCCAACAGUACACCAAGGUCCCUUUCCAUCAGGCAGCUUUCCAGCCAGCUUUCCAGCCACACCUCCCCAAGCCUGUAGGGUUGCUUGGGGUUGUUUUGACCAAAAUGCAGGACCUGACACUUGGGUCCAUUGAAACUCAUACCAUUAACCUUGGCCCAUUGAUCCAGUCUAUCCAGGUCCCUCUGUAGUGCCCUUCUCCCCUCUGGCAGAUCAACACUCCCUCCCAGCCUGGUGUCGUCUGCAAACUUACUGAGGGUGCACUCAAUCCCCUCAUCAAGAUCAUCAAUGAAGAUAUUAAAGAAUACAGCAGGGAGAAAACAGAAUGUAGUGCUGGGGCUCAGUUCCCAGAUUAAGGUAGCACCUGCUCUGAGGAGCUGAAGAACCUUUUAGGUGUGGGCUUCAGAUAUGUAACUGUUGGCACUGUAGGCUCUUGUACAGCUGCCACAUAAUCCGAGGUAUGAUUGAUGUGACUGCAAAAGUGAAGCUUGAAAUUGGUCUUAAAUUGUCCUAAGAGCAGUCAUUGUCUUAUGAAGUAGCUCUCCUUGCUCGGGACAUGAGCAGACUGCUUAGAAAGCAUGGCCAAAAAUUGCACUUACUGCUACUUCAGAGGCAGAAGAGAGAUUUUUGUUUAUUUACUUAUUAUUUAUUUAUGGGAUAGCUAAUGGAAGGAAAUUAUAUCAGCGUGGAAAAUGGAGAUCCUGGAAUGCUAACAUUGAUAAGCUUGGAGACUUCUUGCAGAUGAAUUCCAUCUGGAGAGCUAAUGGAGUCUGAUGUGGCAAAAACAAUCAGUAACACAAUGAGGAGGGAUUCAGGCUUUGGAACUGGUCAUUUAUUUCACAAGCGUAAUUAAAAAAAAAGCCAUUAUUCUGUCCGCUUUCAUGUUCUACAAUGUUUAAUUACAUUUAUGGAUGAAAUACACAGUCAAAAUGUCUGUGACCAAUAGCUGCAAUGUGAAUUUGCGCAUCUUAUGCUAUCUAUGAUAUCAUAGAUGAGUGCCUGUAAUAUCCUACAGCCUUAAAAUUUCUGCUAAUAUUGUCUUUUCAUUGGGUAAUUAAACCUUUUUCUUUUUUUCCUCUUCAAAGAAAGAGAGGAUUGUGGGGAGGAGUCAGGAAGGAAAAGGCACUGCAGCAGGUGCAUUCAUGGUUUUUACAGAUGUGUAUGCUCUAAAACAAUGACUUGAACACCUGAAUUUUUAAGUUCUAAUUAAGAGAUGCAUCUUGUUGCUUGCUUGCAGUAAUGUAUUAUCUACUAGCUGGCAGCAAGGACAGGAACCUCAGUACAGAACAAAAUCUAAUACUGGGGGAGUAACUGCUUUAGUCUGCCUUUGCUUUCUGUUUAUUCAUUUCCAUUUCUUUUGAGAAAUGCUUUAGCAUGUUCUGUUAGAAUGGAUCUCAUUGAUUUUUUUUAAUUUAUUUUAUAAUGUAUUUUAUUAUGAAUUCAAAUACGCAGUGGCAUCUACAGGAUUCUGGCAGAAUCAAAUUAGGGCAUACCAUACUUGAUGAACCUGUAAAUAAAGAGUCCUACUUUCACCGCAGUUUCAAUCAAUGAACAUCCAUUAAAUAACAGAGGGGAAAAAAAAAGAACACAGUUUUUCUUUAUUUGUAGGCUGCUGGGUUGUCAGAAAAAAUAGGGAUAUUUGAAAUGUUUUUUUAAAAUCCUUCUGUGUAAAAGUAAAUAAAAACAACCCCUUGUGCAAAUUUCUGGAGCAAGACUGUUUGAAAAGAAGUGAAAACUGGACUUCCACCUGCAGAUCCGUGUUUUUUUCCAUAGGUAGAGGCAGACUGCAAUUAAAGCUGUUGAAGCACGAAUAUUUUACCCUAUUAUAAUGCUUCAACUUUGAGAAGGGAGCUAAUCUAAUGUAUUUAAAAUUCAGUAAACUGUUGACUACAUUUUCAAGGACUGUUUGAGCUGAACGUUGAAGUAACCAGCAGCUGUUUCUCAGCACUUCCACUGCUGGGUGUGCAAUGACAACUAAAUGUGUGAAGUCUUUCAGUUGUGCCGUUUUCUCAAUAUUUUACAAAUACAUACAUAUAUAUAUGUAUUAGAUUUUACAAGGCUUUUUUAGUUCAGACUUGAAAUAAGACUCUACAAAUUCAAGGAUUAAACUACAUGUGAUGAGCCAUAUUGAUGGUGUGCAUUUCUGUGAUCAUUUCCAAAUGGAUAACAAAGAGUUUUGUAGGAUAACUGGAAGAGACAAGCAGAAAAAGCACCAUAUAUAGUAGCAAUGCCUGUUAGCAAUUAAUCCAUGCUAGUGUAGCAAGCUAAGAUUUGUUUGACCUAUUUAGUAUGUCCAGCAUCUGCAGAGUAGCGAGACUUCUGUUUCUCAGCAAAAUUUGUGAUGUUUAAUAUAUAUCCUUCCUCUACUCCCUUCUUAGCUACUGCCCCUUUACACCUUUUAGCUGUGGAAAGUGGUCUUUACCAAUGAUUAUGGAAAAAAUGCUCAUUCUUCCCUUUUAAAUUUGAUUUAUCUAUUUUUUGGUUUCUCCUGCUGUCUUCUUCUACUUGCAGAGAAAUAGAUGUGCUACUGUUUAAUCAUUCAUGCCUACAAACACUUUUCUUAAUGCCACAACUACUGUUAAUGAUACCACUUCUCCAGAUAGGGAGGAAAAAAAUUAUCAAGCAGUGUGUCUAUUGCAGAAGUCUUUUUUAUUACAUAGAUAUUCUUCAGAAAAGCAAUGCAAUCUCAGUUAUUCUUCCUGAAGAGGAGGAAGUUUAACAGUCAGGAAAACAGUUACUAAAAACAUCAAGCAUAAGCAGAUCUGCUGAAAAGGCUUUCAAAGAUAAUAUACAUAGGUUGCUCCAAAAGUAAUGGCUUCUAUUUAUUUCCAUGGAAAUUACAACAGAUAGAAAGAACACAAUUACACUGAUAGAUCAAAUUCUGAGCUACAAAGACUGUUUUUCGAUAUGAUAAUCACCAUUAGCUAUGCAUUUUCACCAGCAAUGAACAAAAGCCUGCAUUCUGCGCUCAAGAAGAUCUGCAGCAGGGGAAGUGACCCCCUGUCACCACUGCUGAAACCACCACCCACUGUCUCACUGUGCUCACAUCCACUCAUCAAUCUCCAUUCAUGUUCAGCAAGCGCUGAAUGUCAAUGGGUGCCAUUUUUUUCACAUAGAGUAAUUCAGAGGCACACCAUUGCAAAUCCACACUUCCAUGUCAGACGCCAUGUUGUCAGACUGCCCCAUUGCUGCUGUCUGUCACACGGCAACAAAAUAUAAUGGAAUAUUGGUGGGAAGGUUCAGCCUCUACUGCCAUACCACCAACAUUCACUUCUGACAUCGUGAGCCAACAUAAUAAAAUAGGAGGCAUUACCUUCAAAGCAGCCCUCGUAGUAUAUAUGUAAAAGAAAAUUGACCUAAAAUUUAAGAUAUGAGAUUCUUUGAUAUGAAUUAUUUUUUUUUUUCUUUCUGAACAGCAAGCAGCAGAUUUUUUUGCCUGGCACAUUCUGCCUCCUUUACCAGUUCUAAAUUUGUGCUUACCCCAGCGUUGCACUGGCAGCCAACAAGUGGUUCCUCUCUGCAUUGCUGGUACCUAGUUUUGUGCUUUAAAACAAGCCAGGUGAGAACUCAUUUAAAAGGCAGAAACACACUGGACAUCAUCAUCAAGCAUCUGUGGAGUUGCUCCCCUGUGAUGUAUCCAAGGAACCUGAACUUGAUGUGUCAUUGCUUUCUACUGUGGAUCUUACAGCACUCUCCCUGCCCUUUCCCUGGUAAUGUAAAAAAAGGAUGAGAAUACAUGAGAGGUGGUUUGAAAAACUGUUAACGUCCUUUCUUUUUUUUGCCAAAAAGCUUAUAAACAUGAUGGAGCUAAUCACAGAGAUCUGGAAACAAGAAGGCAAAUGCAAGGAUUCCAAAUCUGAGAAAUCUCUGAUUUAACAACUUCAACAAUUUGAUGCCUGUAGAUGAGACCAGGUCCCCUUUGACCAGAUGAGACCAGAUGCUCCCUUUGGAAGAGGAAGAGCACCUCAGGUGGACUCUGUGAGAGAACCUGCAAGCUAUCUUAGCUAGGAAAGUGCAGGAGCUGGAAACUGGGUCAGUACCUCUGAAUAGGUCUGGGGAUGCAGGUCUCUGUGCUGGGAAUAUAAAUAGUGCUGCGGUCUGUGCUGACAGCACGAUGAUUUCCUUGUGGCCCCACAGCCACUCUCAGGCUUCUUGGAAGUGCUCGGUUGGAGCUGUAGUUGCACAGCAACCCAUGGGCUGGUUCUUUCCUGCACCUUUCACCCCCUGCCCUUGAGUGUUGAUUGGUUUCAUUUAAUUGGCUUUCAUUUUAUUUAACAAUCUUCUCUAGAUAUAGGAAAUGGUUUGCUAAAUCUAAAUGCAGGCUUAUAUCAGUAUAAGUAUCAUUUGUGUGAUGGGAUCUCCUUGGUGUGGUAUUUCUUGCCAUGAUAAUCUGUUUUUCAAAACUGAGAGAGGCAGUGAUCACAUAUCCACUACCUGAGUUCUAUCAUGAGAUGUAAUCUGUAUAUUGAUUUUUUAAAAAUGGAUUAACAUCAUUUUGAGAAUGUAAUUUAUUAGGAGGAUUUAUUUUGCUCACUUGUAUUCAACACCCUAUAAAGAUUUGUAUUAAGGCAAUACAUUGAAGAAUUUCUUUGAGAGGUGGCAUAUAAAAGUAGAUUUGAUAAACAGUGGUGAAACAUUUCAUCAGGAUCGAAGAAAACGAUGUGCCUAUUGUUUUAAAAUAACAUCAUAAUUGUAAUUAGAUUUUAAUUUUGUCUUCAUUUACGAAACAGCAUCUAAAACUAAGAGAAGUUCAGGUGUGUUGUUUUUCUGCAGUGAUUGGUUCUAGUUAAAGGACUGCUUAGAAACUGAUGUGCAACAGUGAAGCUAAUUGGCUUGGAAAGUUGUUUGCUUUGAUUUUAUUAGAAACAGUGAAAAGAAUAAUCAUAGCUGUAAACCAACAUAUUCCAAUUUGGGAAAUUGUCCAAGCUGUUAAAAUAAUAAUAGUAGUAGAUUUCAGAUGGUGAUUUCAGUCGUAAAGUGCAACGAGCGAGAGGCACAACAAACACCCCUCUGAGAGCAGGAGUCUCAGAGGUGCAUAAAUGUUGAUGAGGCGGAAGGAGAGACUGAGGCGACUCAGAGGAUGUGCAGCCCUACGCACAAAGCCCACCCUUAUGGGCUCAAUGUCUUGUCACUGGAAACCUUCAAACAUUCUUGUUUUGGAUAAUAGAGAGAAAAUUCAGCAUGUGAAAGUGGUGAGCUUGGACCUACUCUAAGCAGUAGCUUUAGAGGCAAAUAAUAUGGUGCAGGUGGAGUGCUCGAAGAGAAUGGAGGGGAGUGGCAGAGGGCUUUAUGUUACAUUUGAAAACAGAGGCUUUCAUGGAAUCAUUAAGGUUGGAAAAGGCCAUUAAGUUCAGCUGGAUCAUUGCUCUUAGUAGGUGUGCACAGGAAGCAGUGUAAAGCAGAGGAAUGCCAUCCCUGCAAAGUUGAAAGAGUUUUCUGCAUGACUUUAGGACUAGAAUUUCUCCAGCAAGAAUUAUUUUAAGUGCCAUUAUGGCAAAUGCUUUCUAUAUAGCAGUAUCAGAAAGAGCAAUGCAACAAAUAUUACAUGCCAAUGCCUUGCAUGCGCUCUUGUGGGAAUUUUUGGAUGGGCCAUGUAUUCAGAAGCCUCUGCUGACAAGAAACACCCUAAGAAAGGGGUUUUUAAAACAUCAGGUAUGAUUUGGAACAAAUCCUUUUUCCUUUUUUUUUUUUCUUUUUUUUUUCUUUUAUUUUUAUCUAUACUACCUUUCUUUUCCCUUUCUGCUUUAUGGGUUGACCAAUUCCAUUAUUUUUGUAUUUAUGCUGAAGCUGGUAAGUUGGUUUGAUAAAUUCAACAGUCCGAAGUACAGUUCCGUGUGCAUUUGUGUUGGCUGAGUAAGCAAAAUGAAAGGGGCUGGCUGUGAAAGUAGCAAGGUGAUUUACAUCAGUGUCAUAGUGCUGUGCAGUAAUAAAACACAGGGAUUGUUGGACACACAUUAUAUUGUACAAUUAUAUAAUUAUAAACAAUAUAAUUGGAGUCAGUUGAGCUUGAAUGCAGCAGGCUGUUAUUUAGCAAUCAUCUCUUUCAAGGCUCAUUAAACGCAGAUUUAUACACAAAAUAAAAGCUUUGCUCUGUAAAGGAUAAAUAUGUAAUGGCAUUUAUUCACCAAAACAUAAUACAUAGAUCUAAAGCUGCCAGCAUCUAUAAUGGAUUUAGCCAGUGGCUGUAAGUGAAAUUGUUCAGUGGAUUUGACAAUAUCAGCCCCUUUGCUUUUAUUUAAAUCAUUAUUUCCACAAUUCCUUUGUAUGUCUGUUUUGAAACGCUGAAGAGCCAGUACACACAUCUGUGACUGGAUUUUGAAAUCUGACGGUAAGGGACGCUACAAAUGAUCUUUACCUUGAAAGAAGGUGUCUUAAAAAUUAUUGCUUAGGGUGUAUGCUAAGCUUUUAAAAUUUUAUACUUCUGACAUAUUAUACAAGCUCAUAUGGGAGAAAAGGCAGAAACUGAAAUAUUCUGUUGCUGCUUCCUUAAAUCAUUUAGGUUUUUUGAGUUUUUUUUUUUAGCAUCAUUAACUAUCUUACCUAAAGAAAGUAUUUAGCAGUUCCUGGCUGCCAGCCUUUUAAGCACCUAUUGCAUUUCAAAUUGCUAGCUCUCUCUUUGCAACAUCAGCAACAGUGUGCAUAACCACUGCAACUUACUUGAGUUUACCUACAAUACUGUAAAAUCAUUAUUAAUAUAGUAGUAAAAGGUUUUGAACAUAUGUGGCUUUGGUACCGUUUGCAAUUGUAUCUUUGCUCUAGCCUUUGGUGAUUGAAAUGCAGACCUGAUUUUCUUCCCUCACUUCUGUUCUGUUUGCUUAUUUAUCCAAAUGCGUUAACUUGCAAUGUUUCUCAGAGUCUGAUACUGAAUUAACAAGGUCUGUCUUCUUGUCACAUCACUCCAAAACACUGCAAUCACUUCAGAGCAUAGAAAUAAUGAAGCAUUCCCAAUUACACACUAUGAAAUCCAAAUGUUGCUUAGUAAGACUACUUCUGUUUGAUUUUAUUGAAAAAAUAAUAUAAAAUAAAAAUUAUUCUCAGUAACUUUAGGGACAGAUGCUCUUCCAUUCUUCAUUGGCUCUAUUGCAAAAUGCUUCUAAAUUGUUAACACAAGCAUUUGAUUUAAGGUUUCUUAUACUUUCUGUCUUCUGUCCAAAUUAAAUUCCUACACACUACACAAAGCAAUGGAAAUCAUGUUCUUGUUGAGUUUAAGAAUUUCAGGUUAAAAUCUACUGUUAUCUGGUAUGAGGUUGUUUGCUUUUGUGGUUUGUUUUUUUUU
ensembl:lncRNA